rnacentral:rRNA from 1 species
UACGUAGGCAGCAAGCGUUGUUCGGAAUUACUGGGCGUAAAGAGUGUGUAGGCGGUGCUCUAAGUUCGGUGUGAAAUCUCCCGGCUCAACCGGGGAGGGUGCGCCGAAAACUGGGGGGACUCGAGUGCGGGAUGGGAGAGUAGAAUUCCUGGUGUAGCGGUGAAAUGCGCAGAUAUCAGGAGGAACACCGGUGGCGAAGGCGGGUCUCUGGGCGAGGUAACUG